rnacentral:rRNA from 1 species
UACGUAGGGCGCAAGCGUUAUCCGGAAUUACUGGGCGUAAAGGGCUCGUAGGCGGCCAACUAAGUCAGACGUGAAAUCCCUCGGCUUAACCGGGGAACUGCGUCUGAUACUGGAUGGCUUGAGAUUGGGAGAGGGAUGCGGAAUUCCAGGUGUAGCGGUGAAAUGCGUAGAUAUCUGGAGGAACACCGGUGGCGAAGGCGGCAUCCUGGACCAACACUGACGCUGAGGAGCGAAAGCCAGGGGAGCAAACGGG